CCUACGGGGGGCUGCAGUGGGGAAUAUUGCGCAAUGGGCGAAAGCCUGACGCAGCAACGCCGCGUGAGUGAGGAAGGCCUUCGGGUUGUAAAGCUCUGUCUUUUUGGACGAAGACUGAAUGGUCAAUAGCCAUUCAGGUGACGGUACAAGAAAAGGAAGCCCCGGCUAACUACGUGCCAGCAGCCGCGGUAAAACGUAGGGGGCGAGCGUUGUCCGGAAUUAUUGGGCGUAAAGCGCGUGUAGGCGGAAGCUUAAGUCAGGUGUGAAAACUCGGGGCUCAACCCCGAGCCGGCAUCUGAAACUGGGUUUCUUGAGGACGGGAGAGGAAAGUGGAAUUCCUAGUGUAGCGGUGAAAUGCGUAGAUAUUAGGAGGAACACCAGUGGCGAAGGCGACUUUCUGGACCGUAACUGACGCUGAGACGCGAAAGCGUGGGGAGCAAACAGGAUUAGAUACCCCUGUAGUC
rnacentral:rRNA from 1 species